GAUGAAGAACGUAGCGAAAUGCGAUACGUAAUGUGAAUUGCAGAAUUCAGUGAAUCAUCGAGUCUUUGAACGCACAUUGCGCCCCCUGGUAUUCCGGGGGACAUGCCUGUCCGAGCGUCAUUGCUGCCCUCAAGCACGGCUUGUGUGUUGGGCCUCCGUCCUCCUCCCGGGGGACGGGCCCGAAAGGCAGCGGCGGCACCGCGUCCGGUCCUCGAGCGUAUGGGGCUUCGUCACCCGCUCUUGUAGGCCCGGUCGGCGCUUGCCGACACAUCAAUCUUUUUUCCAGGUUGACCUCGGAUCAGGUAGGGAUACCCGCUGAACUUAAGCAUAUCAAUAAGCGGAGGA
rnacentral:misc_RNA from 1 species